GGAGUCUGGGCCGUAUCUCAGUCCCAAUGUGGCCGUUUAACCUCUCAGUCCGGCUACUGAUCGUCGCCUUGGUAUGCCGUUACCACACCCAACUAGCUAAUCAGAUAUAAGUCCAUCUAUCAAGCGGAUUGCUCCUUUCCCACUUGGGAGAUGUCUCCCUUAUGGUAUAUGCGGUAUUAGCAGUCGUUUCCAACUGUUGUUCCC
rnacentral:rRNA from 1 species